UCUCCUCACCCUCUGCUGCACUGGUCUCCUUCUCCCGGCAGAAGGCGCAGCCAUGAAUCCGUUAUUUGGUCCCAACCUCUUCCUCCUACAGCAGGAGCAGCAAGGCUUGGCCGGGCCGCUGGGGGACCCUCUGGGAGGUGACCACUUUGCCGGGGGAGGGGACUUAGCCUCGGCUCCGCUUGCCUCGGCCGGCCCCUCUGCCUAUUCGCCUCCGGGGCCUGGUCCGGCGCCCCCCGCAGCCAUGGCUCUCCGCAACGACCUAGGCUCCAACAUCAACGUACUGAAGACCCUGAACCUCCGGUUUCGCUGCUUCCUAGCCAAGGUGCACGAGCUAGAGCGCCGAAAUCGGCUGCUGGAGAAACAGCUGCAGCAGGCUCUAGAGGAGGGUAAGCAGGGCAGGCGGGGCCUGGCCCGCCGUGACCAGGCGGUACAGACCGGCUUCAUCAGCCCGAUCCGGCCCCUGGGGCUGCCCCUGAGCUCCCGGCCGGCCGCCGUGUGCCCCCCAUCAGCGCGGGUGCUGGGCUCGCCCUCCCGCUCGCCAGCUGGACCCUUAGCAUCCUCUGCCGCCUGCCACACAUCAUCCUCCACUUCCACAUCCACUGCCUUCUCCUCGUCGACCCGCUUCAUGCCUGGCACCAUCUGGUCCUUCUCUCACGCCCGCCGGCUUGGACCAGGACUGGAACCCACGCUGGUGCAAGGGCCUGGCCUGUCGUGGGUACACCCUGACGGGGUGGGCGUCCAGAUCGACACCAUCACCCCUGAGAUCCGUGCCCUGUACAACGUGCUGGCCAAAGUGAAGCGGGAGCGGGACGAGUACAAGCGAAGGUGGGAAGAGGAAUACACGGUUCGGAUACAGCUACAAGAGCGAGUGACUGAGCUCCAGGAGGAGGCCCAAGAGGCCGAUGCCUGCCAAGAGGAGCUAGCCAUGAAGGUUGAGCAGCUGAAGGCAGAGCUGGUGGUCUUCAAGGGGCUCAUGAGUAAUGAGGAAGGACAUCUCAAGGUCGCCUUGAAGCAGAUGAUGCCCCUGGCUGAAUCUGACAGAGCUGGACACCAAGAUCCAGGAAAAGGCCAUGAAAGUCGACAUGGACAUCUGCCGCCGCAUUGACAUCACGGCCAAGCUCUGUGACUUGGCCCAGCAGCGCAACUGUGAGGAUAUGAUCCAGAUGUUCCAGAAGAAGCUGGUUAGUGUGACCUCACGCAAGCUUAUUGUCCCAGUCCCUGUGUCUAAGCCACCCCGCUCUCAGUCUUGAGCCACUGGGCCCUUCCAAAGAGAUGCCUUCUUCCUUUCUGUUUCUUGUCCCCUUUCGCCCCCACCUCCCCGCCCCCACCCCCGUUUUAGUCUCUUCCUUCAGCGGCCUUCCAGAUCUGGAUGUGAUUCUAGCUCUCCCAUAGUAAAGACACGCCUCUCAUCUUCCUCGCAGCUAGAAUUGGGUUCAGUUGAGUCCUCUAAUGAGAAAGACUUCAAAACUAAAGCAAACCCAGUUCUUCCGUAGUUGAUAAACACAACUUUUUGCUUUUCCUAAAGAUUUAUUUUAUGUGUAUGGAUAUUUUGCUUCCAUUCUGUCUGUGCACCGCAUGAGUGCCUUCUGCCCAAGGAUACCAGAAGAGGCCAUUGGAUUCCCUUGGAACUGGAGUUAUGGAGGGCACUGAGCCGCCACGUGGCUGCUGGGAAUUGAACCAGGGUCCUCUGGAAGAGCAUCCAGUGCCCUUAACAGCUCUCUGGCCCUUGUUAAACACAGCAUCCUGUGGUCACCACAAGCCGUUUCUCUCCUUAUCUUACUGGUCUACUUCCGUUUCUCUUUCUCCUUUCUUCGCCCGCAGCCUUGCCCUGUCCACGUGUGUCUGCCUGUUUCUGUUCCUGUCAUGUAACUGUGUCUCUUCUGUCUGUCCCCCUUCCUGCUGGCCCUGCCUCACCCUGCGGCCUCCCUGCCCACCCUUUCCUCAUGCACCCGGCCUCGCCUCUGUAGUCUCUACACUUGUCUCCCAUUAAGGUCCCGUCCAUGGGGGGGCGGAAGCGGGAGCGCAAGGCUGCUGUGGAGGAGGACACCUCCCUGUCGGAGAGUGAUGGGCCCCGCCAGCCUGAGGGUGCCGAGGAGGAGAGCACAGCCCUCAGCAUCAACGAGGAGAUGCAGCGCAUGCUCAGCCAGCUGAGGGAGUAUGAUUUUGAGGACGACUGUGACAGCCUGACUUGGGAGGAGACUGAGGAGACCUUGCUACUUUGGGAGGAUUUCUCAGGCUAUGCCAUGGCAGCCGCAGAGGCCCAGGGAGAGCAGCAGGAGGACAGCCUGGAGAAGGUGAUCAAAGACACGGAGUCCCUGUUCAAAACCCGGGAGAAGGAGUACCAGGAGACCAUUGACCAGAUAGAGCUGGAGCUGGCCACAGCCAAGAACGACAUGAACCGACACCUGCAUGAGUACAUGGAGAUGUGCAGCAUGAAGCGGGGCCUGGACGUGCAGAUGGAGACCUGCCGCCGGCUCAUCACACAGUCCGGGGACCGAAAGUCUCCUGCUUUCACUGCGGUCCCGCUUAGCGACCCGCCGCCACCGCCGAGUGAGACUGAGGACUCCGAUCGAGACGUCUCAUCUGAUAGCUCCAUGAGAUAGAAACCAGUGUCUGGCACCCCAGAGCUCACUGGGGCAGGGGUGUGGGUCUGCAGGGGUGUGGGUCUUCUGUGCCACUGCAUGAAGCCUGGCCCUGGGCUGUCCCUCCCCAGGUUCUGGGGUGUCUGGAGCUAGGCUCAGCCCCACCCUCCCUGUACAACGCCCAUGACAUUGGGACACUCCUUCCUGCCUUCCUCACAUGUGGGUAUCUGCUACUUCUCCAUCUUCGGAAUGCUGCCAGGACACUUGUGAGCCUCCCUUUUCCACUUUGUAAGGAAUGUGAUCACGGGACCUGCCUGUAUUCCUUGGGUAUCUUGGAUUUUGUACUGGUGCUAACUUGCCUAGGCACUCGUGUGAAGCAGAUUCAUCAUGUACCUUGGGAUAGGGCUUUGCUCCCUAGUAAGGCUUUGGAGGGUGUGGGGUGCUCUGUCCACAUGCUCCCAGCUGUUCACUUGCCUCUUGCAGUGAACAUGGCCGUGCAGGCUCGCCUUUGGGAAGUCCUGUGCUGGGCCCAGGUCGCGGCUGAGGAGGUGAAGCUGCUGCCCGCACAUGGGUGUGGCCUGCAGGUUACUGGUGCUCGGGGCCUGUUUCUCCAGUGAGCAGCUGAGGGUAUGCCGCCAUGGCUGUCACUGACAAAACCAAAAGGUUAAGAUGUCCCUGACCUAGGGAGUCAGUCACGACCUCCCAGGAGACGCUAUGUUGAACUAUUGGAAUGGAACCUUUAAAAGCAAUGACGGUGUGGAAUACUUCCCAAGCACUGAGUCACUGUGUGACGCACGAACCAAAGCAUCGACCAGUGCUACAGCCCCUCUUCAUGGAUACCACUAGGUUUUACUGUACUGGGCGCCCUUCCAAUUUUAUCUAAUUUUACGUCUGUCUGCAGGAGGGCUGGGUACAAUUAACCUUUGUUUGCAGAUAAAAGGACACCGAUCUUUCUCAAGAGCAGUGAGCUCUGGAAGUCAGUGCUGUCCAACAAGUGAGUCUCAGACUGCAUUUCCUGUCCCAUUGUCAAGCCCCACCCUCCGCAUUGCCAGACAUAUCAGCUGUUCAGGACAGGCGCCCUGGGCUGGGACUUGGAUAGAAUGUAGCCCUGGACUUCCGGCACCCAGCUGGAUGUCAGAGCCAAUAAAGAUACAUGCACAAAAGUU